AUCGAAAAGCGUGGAUGGAUCGAAUCCACGCGCUGGUGGUACGUCGAUAGUACGACGAAAUUUGCGGUCGAUUCGUGUCUGUGUGUGUGUGUGUACGUGUAUACGUCUGUGUGAAUAGCUUCUGCUAUUCAAGGUAAGCUAGGUCGUGAUUAAACGUGGCCGAACCGGGUCGCGGGUAAUUAAUCGGCGGGUGCGAAAACCCGGCCUGUUCUCUCAGUUAUGGAAGAUUUCGUCGAAAUCGUAAUUCCAGCUUAAUUCCUGGUGUAACUCGAAUCCACGAAUUUGUAAAGAUAAACGGGAGCAGUGCGGUCGACACGGCGGAUUAAUUCGAGCGGUGGUGUAAUGGUUAUGAUGGAAUAAGGAUAAUCGCGCCACCUGACGGGAAACGAUACUUUUCGUUCUCGUCACGUCUCUUACUCUCUGCGUUCACGGUGGUUUGUGGUGUUGGUCGAGUUAAAUUUUUCCAAAAGAAAAAGUUUGAAGAAGAAGGAAUAAUCGUUCGAUUCUUUUCUUAAACGCGUAUUUCAAUUGAUUAAUCUAUUGCUUUCAUUCGAUGGUGAAAAUAUAUUAAUAAAAAGUAUAUUUACGUUAAUAACAAAAUAAUAAAGAAGAAAUUUUCAAGUAAGAAGAGAGAAUAAAACAAAAAGAGAAUAGUGGAAUAAAGACAAAAAGUAAAAAUUCAGGAAUCAAGAAGAGUACAUAAAAUAAUAGGAGAAAAAUAGAAAUAGGCUUAAUCUAUUGCCUUCAUUCGAUGAUAAAAAUAUAUCAAUAAUACAUGAAAUUACAUGGAAUAAAUAAAAAAAGUAUACAACAUUCCAAUAAAAAUUUUCCUAUCUUAUCAAUGCACCAUUCGAUAAAAUAAAAAUGUAUUAACAAGUUAUGCUUACUAUAAAACAGUAAGAAGAAUAAAUAAGAAAGGAUGGAGUAAGAAAGUUCAAUAGAAACUUUAAACUUUCCACAUCUUGUCAUUAACAUCUAUCGUCCUCAUAGAAAUUAAUAAAAAAUAAACUUGUGAAGUGGUGAAGAAAGGAUAGAAAAAAAUCUCACGAAAAGACGUCUCUAUGAUUAACGAACCGUAUUUACUUAUGUAAUAAGUAGAAAUAAUAAAAAGGACGUGGAGGGAUGGAUUCGUUAGAGUUGCACGAUAUAAUUUCGCUCGUUUGCGAAACGUCCCUUUCUUCGAGAGCAAUCUAACUUUGCACGGAACGGGCGGCCGGCACUCGCCGUUUUUCCUCAAUGCUGCGAAAUUGCGAAACGUCGUGCACGCGUGUCAACUAAUUGAAAUUUAUAACAUCGAAACAAGUGGAGUGUCCGUAAAUAGAUGUUGCGCAAAAUUUCGUCACUUUUGCCUCGUUGAUCGACAAAAUAAAUGGCUAGAGAAACGGAUACACAUCAUCGGAUCAUUAAUAAUAAGAGGCGUCUAUUUUUCUUCGAAAACGAAAUUUUUAAUUGUUAUUUGUUAAAAUAAAAGUUGAUGCGCGAAAAUAGCGCGAGCCACUUAUUUCGAGUUAUUAGCAAUUUAAAUUCAAACAUUGGAUGAAACGAGUAGAGGAAACAACGACAAACUUCGAUUUGCAGAAGUUUGAUCGUAAUAGUUAUAUUGGAAUAAUGGAAUAAAGGGUGAAUCUUGACUAAGGUUCUCCAAAGUAACACUGGUCUAAAUUCUGGAGGAGUAACCUUAAGGGGGAGUAAGUUGGAAAGCCGAGUAUGUGCAGCCAGGUUGCACGAACUGGCUGGCAUUUUCGCGUUUCAAUGGUCUCUGCUUGAAACUCGGUCAGAGAUAAGUUUGAGAAAGCUGGAUUUUGCAAGUAAAAUCUAAACGCGAGCCUAUCUCCUGUCAUCCGAUCGAAAAUCGUUAGAAAAUGAAAGCAAGGAACGAACGGUGUUGUGCACAGACACUGUUCGACGAGAUAGACUUCGUGGAAAAGAUUUCAUAGUUGCAAAGCUGUAAAUCUGCCAGCAGUACUGGGAAAUGGAGUGAAAUGCCACUUGGCAUUGGUGCAAAGUUUGGCGAUAACUUAGCGCUUCGAACAACCGAAGAUAUCGAAACGUGGAAUAUCUAUUCACCCAUUUAUGAAAUUUAACAAAAUACGAAAAUAUUUUUGACAGACGGGUACAAAUUUUUAUCGCCUCGACCUAUAUAAACUUGCCAAACGUACAAGUAAUAGAACGUUUUAUUGUUGUAACGUAAUAUUUUUUCUUAUCUGUUAAAAAAUUCCGUCCAUUAAAAAAUUAUCGGAACGGAAGUUACGAGAUUAUAAUUCGACGCGAAGCGCGAAAAUUCACGUUAAGAACGAUUACGAAUCCAUUAAACUUCUCUGUAUAUUUUUCAGGUAUCCCCCUUCGGGGAAAGUUUUGAUAUUAAACUACUCGUUGCACGCUUCAGUUUGCUUCGAGUUCUCUAAAUAUUUUUAAAUACCCAGAAGCUGUUUGCCAUUCUCGAGAGUCAAUGUCCGGGGGUUAAGCGGUUGGUUAGUUUAUUCGUGUAUCUCGUUUCUAAGUGUAUAAAGUUUUUGCGCAGUUCAACUUUUAACAAAUGACGUCUUAAACGUUUCCUUCCUUUUUUGCCGUAUUUCACUGUAAGAAAUAGGAAAACGCGUCUUGCCUGGCGAACUUGCAAAAAAAAGAUGGAAAUCUUAUCUCGUCUCGUUAUCUUAUUAUUUGUUGAUUCGUUUAUUAGCACCAGAAAUGUAAUGGCGAAUAAAAUUUAGUUCGCUAGUUAAUAAAUAAUAUAUAUAUA